GUGUCAGCAGCCGCGGUAACACGUAGGGGGCAAGCGUUGUCCGGAUUUAUUGGGCGUAAAGAGCUCGUAGGUGGCUGGGUAAGUCGGAUGUCAAAUCCCCAGGCUCAACCUGGGGUCCCAUCCGAUACUGCUCUGGCUAGAGUCCGGUAGGGGAGCGUGGAAUUCCUGGUGUAGCGGUGAAAUGCGCAGAUAUCAGGAGGAACACCAGCGGCGAAGGCGGCGCUCUGGGCCGGUACUGACACUGAGGAGCGAAAGCGUGGGUAGCAAACAGGAUUAGAAACCCCGGUAGUCC
rnacentral:rRNA from 1 species